GAAGACUAUUGGAAAAGAUAGGAUGCUGCUCAAGUAAUGGCUCAGUUAGUAUGGGAAGGACUUGGACUCGGAGGAGGGACAGAUGUCCGAAACUGGGGCAGCCUGGUUUAUCAGGCUAUUUCAAUAGCAAAUAAUGCAUGCUGGGCUAUUGGAGAACUUGCAGUUAAGGUAUG